rnacentral:rRNA from 1 species
CCUACGGGUGGCAGCAGUGGGGAAUAUUGGGCAAUGGACGCAAGUCUGACCCAGCAACGCCGCGUGAAGGAAGAAGGCUUUCGGUUUGUAAACUUCUUUUAAGGGGGAAGAGCAGAAGACGGUCCCCCUUAAAUACGCCACGGCUAACUACGUGCAAGCCGCCGCUGUAAUACGUAGGUGGCAAGCGUUGUCCGGAUUUACUGGGUGUAAAGGGCGUGCAGCCGGAGAGACAAGUCAGAUGUGAAAUCCACGGGCUCAACCCGUGAACUGCAUUGGAAACUGUUUCCCUUGAGUGUAGGAGAGGUAAUCGGAAUUCCUAGUGUAGCGGUGAAAUGCGUAGAUAUUAGGAAGAACACCAGUGGCGAAGGCGGAUUACUGGACGAUAACUGACGGUGAGGCGCGAAAGCGUGGGGAGCAAACAGGAUUAGAUACCCGGGUAGUC